UCUUUCUCUUUCUUCACCUCGCAUGACAUGACAUCACCUGGAGUGUUGGAACUUACGAACUGUGGCACUGUGACACAUCAGUGUUAUGCUUCUGAACAUAUAUUUCUUUCUUUCCUGGCAACUCACUGCAGACCAGCGACCGGUGGCUCGUGGACCGGCACCGGUCUGCGGACCACCACUUUGAGAAGCACUGCUGCAGAGGAAACCUAAUUUAG